rnacentral:rRNA from 1 species
CUCUAGCCGGCACCAUGUAAGUUUCGGAGGGGUAGCGAAGUGGCUAAACGCGGCGGACUGUAAAUCCGCUCCUUCGGGUUCGGCAGUUCGAAUCUGCCCCC